UAAUAAAAGUGAAAUAUAUAUAUGGCACUUUUAAAACAAUCCAUAUCCACCUUGUGUGCAAUGUUUUCUUUAUAUAUUAUCAUCAACUCUCUUUGUAAUUAUUUUUUGACUGAAUUUUAUCAAGUAAUCCAAUUUUUUUUGGAUUAAAAAAAGUUUUAAAA
rnacentral:misc_RNA from 1 species